CCUGAUCCAGCAUGCCGCGUGUGUGAAGAAGGCCUUCGGGUUGUAAAGCACUUUUGUCCGGAAAGAAAUCCUUGGCUCUAAUACAGCCGGGGGAUGACGGUACCGGAAGAAUAAGCACCGGCUAACUACGUGCCAGCAGCCGCGGUAAUACGUAGGGUGCAAGCGUUAAUCGGAAUUACUGGGCGUAAAGCGUGCGCAGGCGGUUUGCUAAGACCGAUGUGAAAUCCCCGGGCUCAACCUGGGAACUGCAUUGGUGACUGGCAGGCUAGAGUAUGGCAGAGGGGGGUAGAAUUCCACGUGUAGCAGUGAAAUGCGUAGAGAUGUGGAGGAAUACCGAUGGCGAAGGCAGCCCCCUGGGCCAAUACUGACGCUCAUGCACGAAAGCGUGGGGAGCAAACAGGAUUAGAUACCCUGGUAGUCCACGCCCUAAACGAUGUCAACUAGUUGUUGGGGAUUCAUUUCCUUAGUAACGUAGCUAACGCGUGAAGUUGACCGCCUGGGGAGUACGGUCGCAAGAUUAAAACUCAAUGAAA
rnacentral:rRNA from 1 species